rnacentral:lncRNA from 1 species
AUGACAUGUUCAGAGCAUACGUCUAAUAUAGAGUACACAUGAAAAUUUAAGAUAGAAAAGUGCUAUUACAAUAGAUGUCGAAGUAGAGAGUAAAUAGCACGAUAUCACUGGUAGGGGAAUGCCUCGAAGCUCAUAUUGUAUUCCUCAUUCCUAGGUCUUAAAUGGGGCACAAAACAAACAUGAGUGGACCAAAUUGAUAUAUAUAUAUAUAUAUAAUAAAACAAUUAUCAACAUACUAACCCCCAUAUUUUAAGUGGCUUAUUCAAUACAAAAUCAGUUCAUAUUUUUGCAAAUUUCAGAGAUGCUCACGGAAGAACAGGGCUUCACUGGGCGUCCUAUUUUGGAGGAGAGGAAACUGUCAUUACAUUACUUCGAUUGGGCGCCGCUGCAUCUUUCCCAGAUCAAUUUCACGUGGCUAGUUCAAACUUCACUUGGAUACUCCAGAGUUCAGUUUGAGGGGGGAGUAAUAACUGAUAUAACAAAAAGGGGUAUUAUUGUAAUUAGGUUAUAUGGCUAUAUAAGGGAUUGUUUAGCUAUCAUUUCUUUAAGUUCUUUUGUAUACAUUUUCUCCAUUUUAAUCAAUACAAUCUUUCUGGUUUUUCUCUCUAUCAUCUUCAUCUUUAUUUGUACCAAUUCUUCAUCUUUUACAAUGUAGUUAAUAAUUAGUAAGCCUCACAAAAAUUUCGCUUAAAUUCAGAAGGGAUGAUGACGAAUGCUUUAUCUUGCUGAUCAUGGAUAUGGUUUCCUCUUCUCUCACCGAGCGAAAAGACCGAACUCUUUUGUUGCUCAAAAGAUUUAAGACGCAUAUACUUUUUACCUGCCUCCAGUACUCACCAUAAGGAGCAGAUGCAACGUCGUUGUAGUUGUAUAGAAGCUUCUAAACGAUGGUGGACUUGGGACGGUUAGAAAAUGUGAGGUUAUGGGUUUUCAUGAUCUCACGGGCAGCCUCAGCUGAAGACACAACUAGGACUGGAACACUUCCAAAGUGGAGAAGCAUGAGAGGGCCAUGGCGUUGAGACAAGGCUUGAAACGAGCGAUGAGGGUGCAACCCUACUUGGUGCAAGUUCCCAAUGAUUGGGAGCUUCGGUGGAGAAGGUGGUGAAGGGGUUUUGUUGGUGGUUGUAGCGGAGGAGUACCAUCGGUAUAGGAGGAUGAGGAAAAUGGCCAGCAGAGUGAAGGCCAAAGGUUGCAAAAAAGAGGAGGUUUCACUCACCAUCAUCAUAGUUCUUCCAUCUACCCUAUCUUGGAAAAGAAAAUGUGUUGUGUUGUGUGGUCUUCGUUUCUGUGUUUAUAUAAGUCAAGGUUAUCCCAGUAUACAAUGUAAAGAGUGAGCAUGUGUGGCUUUUUACCUUCACAUCCUCUCAUUCUCUCGAAUGUGUGACGAAUUUUCAAGUCAAACACGUACUAACACGAAUUAAGUGACGUGUAGCAUGUAUAACUGUUAGGCUUUAGAUAUAGGAUAAUCUACUCUGAUACCAUGAAAAAAUAAAAUAUGUGUGUUGCAAUUACACACAAAGUACUCUUUAUAUAAAGUCAUAUCCGUGACAAAAUAAAAUGUGAUACGAUCGCUUCUUGUGAAGAACUUCACGUAAUAACAAACUAUUACUGUAACCUUUUUGAAAACUUAAGAUAAUAACAAAUAUAUUACCGUAACCUUUUUGAAAACUUAAAAUAUGUGUUUGGAAGUUUUCAAACGAUAUCUGUAAGCAUUUUCUUGUUCAUACAAAUUGCAUGAGAUGGAGUAAUUUCUUAUGGAUUUAUGGGUCUCUCACAUUUGACUAUUCUGUGUGACUUUUGGGUUUUUUGGAUUACUUUAUUUGUUUAUGCAUCUGGUUUUGCAACUUUUUUUCUGUUGUUUUCAAGAUUUUAGUUCAGAUCUUUCUCCCCCCCUCUCUCUCUCUCUAUCUCUGUCUUUCUCUUUCUUCUCUCUUUUUCUCUCUAGACAAAGUGCUUUGCUUUUCCCCCUUUCCCUUUCCAAGUAAUUUCAUUUUGUUUUUCAAUUGUUUUUGUGUUCAUCAGGACUAUUACCAACUGUGUUUGAUAACUUCUGUGCAAAUGUGGUGGUUGAAGGCACUACUGUGAAUUUAGGCUUACGGGACACUGCUGGUAACUCUCCCAACCCAAAUUCUAAUUUCAUCUUAUAUAAAUGCGUUCUCCGCCCAUUGUUGAGCGAUUUCGGAAUUAGGGUUGGGUUGGCGUCUGUUUGGUUGCCUGGAAAAUGUGGAAAGGAAAAUGGGGUCAUGGGGUUUCUUGAUUUGUUGUUAGAUUUGUGGGAACUGCAAUUUCUGGUGAAAUUUUUGUGUGAAUGUUCUUAGGGGAAAAAAGUUACUUACUUUUUUUGGUUUUCUUAGCCACCAAAUGGGAAUAAUUUCAUUUUCUUUUAUUUGUAUUUGUAGUGAUGUGAUUCAGGUUCUAUUUAUUAUGAUUUUAAAUCAAAUGCCUUACUUCGUUUAGAUUUACUACAAGAUCUAAUCUGUAUCUUGCGGAAAUGGUAAAUAGGUCAUUUUCGGAAUGACAUGAAAUUAAUUAGAUAUGGCAUAAAAAGAGGGGAUACUUAGUCUCAUAAAUCUAUUGCAGUUGAAAAAUGUAUUUUGGCAAGGGUUCUUUGAGCUGAUUAGGUGAAGAACCAAAUUGUCUUGCAUGCUUCUCAUUUAUUUUAAAAAAUGGAUUGGAUUCCUAUAAAUAUCUUAGUGAAGAACCAAUUUCACGACCUUGCAGAGCUUUUUGAAUUGAAGCCUUUUCUUGCUUGCAAUUUUGAAUUAUUUCAAAUUAUCAAUGACUAUUUUUUUUCUUUCUUUUUUUACAACAUUGUUGAGAAUGGUUUUGCUUAAGCUUUGGAGUUCUUAACUCAGAUACUCUCUUGGGUACGUUCCAUAUGAGUUUCAACUGCAUAUAUGUAUGUGGCUUUAGACUUGUUGGUUCAAUAAAUUGCAAGCCUUCAUUUUAAAAUCACUUUAGUCUAAAAUGAGUGAGAAAUGAAGUUGGUCGUAUAGUAUGUGUCGUAGUGUCAUAAAAAUCUGCCGCAAUAGUGAUACUGAGUAAAUAUUGGGAUUUGUUGGAUUUCCUUUCUUUUAUUCACCUCUCCCAGACCCUGCGUAAAGUGGGAGCCUUGUGCACUGGGUACGACCUUUUUGUUUAGUGUGGAUUCUCUUAGUCUUUUCUUUUGUAAUUUUGGGUGCUUUCACAUACCAUAUGUGAACUGCAUGCCGCUUAUGUGUUUUAUGCAAACAGACUAGUUUUUUGAGAUUACAACUUUUGUGAAUAAAAGCUUAUAAGUUCAUCCUUUUGAUUGUAAAGCGGCUCUUGAUGUCAGCUGAAUUGAAUAUAAGUUAAAAUCAAACUGCUUUGAUUUGUUCACCCAUCUCUUGGUUAUUUAAAUUCUUUAGAGAUGCCAAUAUUGAUUUGUGAUUUUAUUGGAUUCACUUUGAUGAAAUGUGUGUUAUCUGCAUUGUUGCAUUUUAGGGGUGACACCGUUCGUACCGCCUUUGUAGUGCAUCUUUUUAUGCAAAUUAUUUACCAUUCUGCCACUGGCUCUUUCUGCCCCUGCUGCUGUUGGUGGAUUUCACGUUACUAACAAAAUUACCACUGCCUCUUCAUUCUUCGUUCGGUGAGGGUUUUGGGGAUGGGAGGCCAUGCCGCCUCUAAGAUAGAGAUAGAGAGGGAGAGGGAGGAGGCCAUGCCGAUAGACAUAGACAUAGAGAUAAAGAGAGAGGGAGACAGAAACAGAGCGACUGAGGGAGAUGGAGGAGUGGGGAUCUUAGUGCCAUUGCUACAUAUCCUCGAUUUCAUGAGUGGGAGAGGGGGGGACAGUCAGAGAAAACCAUGGGGGCCGUCGGGAUUUGAGGGAGAGGGGUAGGGAUCGUGGCUGGGGGUCUAGGUUGGUCCCCUUGGUCCGUUUUCUACAGCACCACUGUGCUCAAACACUCUAUCUCGCAGUGGAACUCUCUCCUCCCCUUACUCAAUCCUCUGCUUCUUCUCUGAUUCAUGGUUGGUUGAUUUCUAAAAAACCUUCGAGGAUAAAUUUGGGGUGGGAUCUGGGUUUUCUGUGCAUUACUUAAAUUUUGCAUUUUUUUCUUCUGGAUUUUCAAUUAAGAAAUGAAUAAAUUUGGGGGUUUCUGGUUUUGUAUUUUGCUGUUUAUAUGCUGCAAUUACAGGAAAAGGAGGACAAGGAGUUGGACCCUGGAUGUGCUCUCCUUCGUCCAUCCUGCGUCUGCAUGUCCUCAUUCACAAGAUAAGUACCAUUUUUAUAGUUGAUUUUCUACUAUUUGGUUUGGUUUUAAUUCUCUCUGCCAUUCUCACUCCACACUCUCUGUCUCUCACUCAGUUCAAAGCUCUUCAACUUUUUCGCACAAAUUGCUCAAACAUUCCAGCUCUCAAACAUCUUAGAUCCCUCACUCAGUUUAAAAGUAUGUUUUUUUUGUUGUUUCUUGGUGAAAGAUUGAUCAGUGAUGAUUGCUAUUGUUCAUUCAUGGUUGAUUGAGCAUUUUUGUUAUAUGAAACCAUAGAGAAUAGUUGCCUUUAUGCUGAGUAUUUUUAUUUCUUGAUGCAUUUGUGUUGAUCAGGCACGAAGGGACCAGUCGAUACGAAGCGCAUCUUUAGGAUAUACAGGUAUAAGCAGCGUGGCAAAGAAGCUAUAAUGGCAAAUAAUUUUUUCUUUUACAUUACCUAUGAAGGGAGAGGUCGCACUUGGUGCGAUGACAAGUGUCUUCGCCCAUGAACGGUAGGUCUCGGGUUCGAGACUUGGGAGCAGCCUCUCCAUAAAUGGGGGUAAGGCUAGCCGACAUUCACCUCUCCCAGACCCUGCGUAAAGCGGGAGCCUUGUGCACUGGGUACGACCUUUUAUUACCUAUGAAGGGACAGUCGAUAUUGAUAAGAUCUCAGACCCAGUAAGUAUAGUUUCUGUUGACAUUUGUAUGAUUUUUUCCAUUAUUGUUUGAUAAUUUUUUUCAGUACAUUCUUUUUUCCUCUGUGCCAAAAUCAGGUACAACAGCGUGCAACACAGGACCAAAUUGCAUACUUUGGGCAAACGCCAUCCCAACUACUUACCUUCCCUCACUUGAAGAGGUUGCCAUUAGCAGAUGUUCUUCAUUUACAGGUAACUUUCUUUGGAGAAACAAGAAACUUAGCUGAACCUUUCGGAAUGUUUAUUUUAUUUCUGGAAAUUAUCCAAUCUAAACAUAUUACAUUGGGAAUAACUGAUGAGGAUUCGAUUUCUUAUGAAAAUAUUAUGCAUGUUUUCUGUUAAAGAAAGAUCAUCUUGAUAUUUUGGAAUGUCAGACCAUCUUCCAGAACCCAAAAGAAGUCAAACCAUAUGCUGAUUCUGCUCCUGAGCACUGCAAUCUUCCUGCAGCUGCCAUUCAUGCUUCUUCAGAUGCUGUAACACAAAACCCAGCUUUCGGCUAUCCGCUGGCAUCUCUCUGAAGGUUUGUGUACUAUCUUAUGUGGAAUUGGGAUGGGAUGACUUUGAAUACUUACCGUAUAUGAGGAAACGAAAUUUGAAAUGUUGCAUUGAUUAAUUAGUAGAGAACGAAAGCAUUGAUACUAUAUGAUUGUGUAGAUUCAGUUAUGUUGAUUGAGUAUUUGUUGGUGCAUUGCUAAUCAAAACUUUUUGUGGAUUCAGUUAGAUGUGUGAACUACAUGUUUGUUCUGUUUCUUAAGGAAACAGAACUUUUUGGGUAACCAUCUCUUCCUAAUCAAACCGUACAAUUUCUUCCUACUCAUUGUACAAUGUGUUUAUAUGCCAGCUCACUUGAAUGUAUAAAAACAAAACUGCUUAUCUUAUUGAUCUUAUUCACUCAUUUAUUCCUUUGUUUGUUCAUAAUUGUGUUGAAUUUAUUCAACUUAAAAGUGUUUUAUUCAUCCGAUUACGCUUUAAACAGCUGGUUCCUGCGGCAACGUGCAUGCCUAAUUUCUAGUACAAUCUAAAUUUGAGAUUUAUAUAUUAGUGAUUAGCCAACUCAAUUCCUCAUCAGAAAAACAGUUCCGACACUGCACACAAAUGCUUCGAUUAGGAAAAUUGCCCGCAAUAUAUAUGAAGGCCAAAGGUUGCAAAAACGAUGUUUUGUUCGUCGGCUUCAUAGUCCUAUGUAGGAAACGGAAUUGUGUGUAUGGGUGUGUCUGCUGCACUUGUUUGUUUAUAUAAAGGUAAAGAUCAUCCUGAUACAAAGUAGUAGAAUAGGCCAAAGGUUGCAGAACAGAGAAGGUUUCAUUCACCAGGUCAUAGUCAAAUCGAAUCUAGGAAAAGAAAAUUGUGCAUUUGCGUGUGCUUUGUUUGUGUGUUUAUAUAAAGGUCAUCCCAGUAUAUUAUUUUAAGAUCAUCCAUGAUUUCAUAUGAAAACAAAAAUAAAGUGCUAAUUGCUAUAAAAAACUUACAUAUAUAUAUAUAUAUAUAUAUGUGUGUGUGAGUUUUCAAAUUAUUGAUUGAUACAUAUGAGCUAAAACAUUAAUAGUUCUUGGUCUAAAUGAAUAUGGAAUAGCAAUAGCUUUGGAUUUUUCUUUUCAUUUAUCCAAUAGAUUUUUACUGGCAUGGGAAAUUUGGAGGGAUGGAAAGUAGGUAAGUAGGAAAGUCGGAGGGUGUAGUUGUCCAAUUACCAAACUAUGCGUAUAGAUGACAUUGGAAAAGUAACCGAUGGAGUCCACAACUAUAAACUCAAUCAAUGUAUCUAGUAGUUAAACUUAAGGAUCGCUAAUUUUAUUUUGAUAAAUAAACAUACAAGGACUAUGGAUUCAUAUUCUUAUAUCCAUCAUUCAAAGUGAAUAUGGAAUAGCAACAGCUUUGAGAGGAUUUUUUCUACGUACGGUUAAACCAGUAGAUUCGGUCAUGUCUAAAUCCUCCGCACUUGCUCCGCUAGGCAAUUCCCAAUCGUACUUGUGCACAGUACUUGCUAAGGCGAUCUCAAUAAUAGCAAUCGCAAAAUGAAUUCCCGGGCAGAUCCUCCUACCAGCUCCGAACGGAAUCAACUGAAAGUCAGUCCCUUUAUAAUCUAUCUCACUAUUCAAGAACCUUUCUGGCUCGAAAUCUUCUGGUUUUUCAUAGACCUUGGGAUCCCUUCCAAUGUGCCAUGCAUUGAUCAUAACUUGUGUCUUGGCUUUGAUGUUGUAACCAUUUAUUUCCACGUCUUGGGUCGACAACCUGGGCACUAGUAAUGGAAGUGGUGGAUGUAAUCGAAGAGUUUCCUUUAUCACCGCCUUCAAGUAGUGCAUUUCGACCAAAUCAUCCUCCGUGAGUACGUCUGUUUUGCUUACGGCUAUUCCCCUUACUUCUUUCUGCAAUUUGUUCAUGACCCUUGGAUUCCUUAAAAGCUCAGUCAUUGCCCACUCUAGUAAUGUAGAUGAUGUAUCCGUACCAGCAGCAAACAUAUCCUACAAGAAUGAAAUGUUGAUUAAGACAUUAGCCUCUAACUUCUAAAGUAGAGAGAGAGAGAGAGAGAGAGAGAGAGAGAGAGAGGGUUACCAAGAUGAGAGCUUUUAUAGUAACUGUAUCAAUAGGAAAACCUGCCAAGUUUUCUUUCUGAACUGCAAGCAAAACGUUGACAAAAUCGUUCCUGUCAUCAUCUUCACUCUUUGAACUACACUUCAUAUGCUCUUGAAUAACUCCACAUAUAAAGUCAUCAAACUGCUUAGCCACCUUGUCUACCUUGGCCACCAAACCAUUGACAUGGCGCAACCAAGAAAGCCACGGUAUAUAGUCCCCGAUGUCGAUAAUUCCCAAUAAUUCUGCGAACUCCCUCAAAAGCUCCGAAAACAUCCUCCCAUCUUCUCCACCAUUGUACGUCCUCCCCAGAGCCACUCUACAUACCACAUCAUUAGUAAGCCUCACAAACAUUUCGCUUAAAUUCAGAAGGGAUGAUGACGAAUGCUUUAUCUUGCUGAUCAUGGAUAUGGUUUCCUCUUCUCUCACCGAGCGAAAAGACCGAACUCUUUUGUUGCUCAAAAGAUUUAAGACGCAUAUACUUUUUACCUGCCUCCAGUACUCACCAUAAGGAGCAGAUGCAACGUCGUUGUAGUUGUAUAGAAGCUUCUCAAAGAUGGUGGACUUGGGACGAUUAGAAAAUGUAAGGUCAUGGGUUUUCAUGAUCUCACGGGCAGCCUCAGCUGAAGAUACAACUAGGACUGGGACACUUCCAAAGUGGAGAAGCAUGAGAGGGCCAUGGCGUUGAGAUAAGGCUUGAAACGAGCGAUGAGGGUGCAACCCUACUUGGUGCAAGUUCCCAAUGAUUGGGAGCUUCGGUGGAGAAGGUGGUGAAGGGGUUUUGUUGGUGGUUGUAGCGGAGGAGUACCAUCUGUAUAGGAGGAUGAGGAAAAUGGCCAGCAGAGUGAAGGCCAAAGGUUGCAAAAAAGAAGAGGUUUCACUCACCAUCAUCAUAGUUCUUCCUUCUACCCUAUCUUGGAAAAGAAAAUGUGUGUUGUGUGGUCUUCGUUUCUGUGUUUAUAUAAGUCAAGGUUAUCCCAGUAUACAAUGUAAAGAGUGAGCAUGUG